AUUCCAGCUCCAAUAGCGUAUAUUAAAGUUGUUGCAGUUAAAAAGCUCGUAGUUGGAUUUCUGGGCUGAGCGACCGGUCCGCCGCUGUGCGGUGUGUACUCGUGUUCGACUCGGCUCAUCCUUGUGGGGAAACGCAUUUCGGCAUUAGGUUGUCGAGGCGGGGAACCGCAUCGUUUACUGUGAAAAAAUUAGAGUGUUUAAAGCAGGCAAAUUGCUGUGAAUACAUUAGCAUGGAAUAAUAACAUAGGACUUUGGUUCUAUUUUGUUGGUUGGAGGCCAAGGUAAUGAUUAACGGGGACAGUCAGGGGCACUCGUAUUCCGCCGAGAGAGGUGAAAUUCUCAGACCAGCGGAAGACGAACCACUGCGAAAGCAUUUGCCAGGGAUGUUUUCAUUG
rnacentral:rRNA from 1 species